GGGGAAUUAGCUCAAGUGGUAGAGCACUUGCUUAGCAUACAAGAGGUAGUGGGAUUGAUGCCCACGUUCUCCA
rfam:Chlorocebus sabaeus isolate 1994-021 chromosome 17, whole genome shotgun sequence.